UGUGUGUGUGAGAGGAGGGGGAGAGGUUGGCCUAGACCAGUGUGGAAUUCUUAAGAAAAAACAUUUCUCACUACAGACAUACUCAGUCACGCAUGUCUGCUUACAUAGACAGACUUUCCAUGCACACUGACUGUAUUUCUGGAAAUGACUUGUGUGUGACCAAACAGCUCAGUGCUGUUUCCACAUGUGUUCUCGAAUGGAGUAACUGGAGAUAGCAAGCUUCAUGGAAUUUGUUUUGACUAAAGACAAUGGUAUAGUACCAAAAUACGGGAUGUUCUCCUUAUGUGAGAAGACAUAUAACAGAUGACUCAGAAGUUCAACUCUAUGGUAAAUCAGGAUCCUUCUCAUGUGCUAUCAAAACUGUCAGCAUGAGGUACAGCCACUGGAACCUGAUUUGUCAGCUAAUGUUUCUGAAUAGCAUUUUUCAUGACUGUGGAAAAAUCACUUUUGGCUGCCGCUCUUACCGAAGCUGCUGGAGUUCUUUUUGAAUAUCCAGCUAUUAUAUCCUGAAUUUCACUUUGAAUAAGAAGAAAAAUAUAUUUGUGCUGCUUGUUAUUGUAAAAUAGAAAUGGUGGCAAAGACUAAAGACAACAUUUCCAUUGGCACACAACAACUAAAGGGAAUAAUUACAUCAUAAUCAACAGAAUCAUUAAUGAGCCAGAAGGAAUUCAUCAGACCCAAUGAUAUAUCUGAGGACAAAAGGAUUCAUAUUGAAAAUACAAAAUGGAAAGCUCAAGAAACACAUGCGAGCAACGACAGAGAGUAAGAGAAGGUGGGGGUCCUGUAUGUCACCUGCUCCCUGAUUUGGUGGUAGCUGUCAAAGGACAAUGUUCCCCAACAAUGCCAUAUUGUUUUCCUAUAGGAAAGCAGCAUAACUGAAAAUACACAGCCGGGAAGAUGGAACAGGCAGUUGCCUCACUGACAGUAUUAGCCAGAUGCAACAGUUAAUCUGUCCAACAUUUUGUGUUGUAUGAGUCUAGCAAGCUAUGCUGCAGUAAUGAAACCGUGCAGAUUAAUGGAAGCUUUAUUUGAGCAAUGAAGGAUUAACCACACAGAUUGCAUGUGUUGUGAAUGUAAAAGCAAAAUGUAAAUUAUACAAUGUUAUUAAUAUUUAGAAUAAAAGGAAUCAGCAGAUAUAAGAAG